rnacentral:misc_RNA from 1 species
CAGACUUAGACCUGGCCCAAGAAGAAUGCAAACAGUUGCUCCAACAAGGCCUCAUAGAGCCUACAUCCUCUUAGUGGGCUUGCCAAGCCUUUUAUGUGGAAAAAAGAUCUGAAAGGUUAAGAGGAAAAAAGACGCUUGUCAUUGACUAUAAACCUCUCAACCAUUUCCUUCAGGAUGAUAAGUUCCUAUUACCAAAGCCUGAAACCUUAUACACCCAGCUCCAUGAAGCCCACAUCUUCUCAAAGUUUGAUCUUAAGGCCGGAUUUUGGCAGUUAGGGAUUGAGCCAUCAGACAGGUCCAAAACUGCUUUUUGCAUUCCUGCGGUCCAAUAUCAAUGGACUGUCCUUCCCUUUAGACUAAUAACAGUCCCUUCUGUUUUUCAAAAGACCAUGACAAGAAUAUUUGAGCUCAUUCUCCACAUUGCUCUCAUCUAUAUUGACGACAUCCUCCUAUUCUCAAAGGAUGUCACGGCCCACAAAGCUCUCCUAUCCACUUUCCAAACCAUAGUGGAUUCUCAUGGCAUCAUGGUAUCAGAAAGAAAGAGUUCUUUGACCCAGACUGACAUAGACUUCCUUGGAAUGAAGUUCAAA